rnacentral:rRNA from 1 species
ACGUGUAUCUGAAAUCAAGUGUGACGACCCGCUGAACUUAAGCAUAUCAAUAAGCGGAGGAAAAGAAAUCAAAUGAGAUUUCCCUAGUAGCUGCGAGUGAACUGGAAUCAAGCCUAUUGCCAAUUCUUAUGUUUUGUACAAUAAGAGAUGAGGUGUAAAGGUAUCUCGUGUUCAGCAGUGGCACGGCCUAAUUAUUAUUGAGUCAGUGCUCAAAGAAGGUGAAAAGCCUGUAUGGUUGCGCCGAUCUGUUGAACCGUGAUACUGGAGAGUCUAGUUGUUUGAGAGUACAACUUAAAGUUGGUGGUAAAUUUCAUCAAAGGCUAAAUAUACGAAGGGACUAAUAGCGAACAAGUACCAUGAGGGAAAGUUGAAAAGAACUCUGACGAGAGAGUUCAACAGUACGUGAAACCACAUUGAGUAAAACAGAUAACUGUGUUGUUAUGUGGUGUGCCUAUCAACAGUCACUUCGGCGUUGCCACGUUUUGGGUGUAGGCUGUCUAUUCAGCUGAAUGCCUAAAACUAGCAUAGUCGGAGGUGCUGUGCACUAGUGCGCACUCGAUCAUUGAGAAGCUAUGCCGCUGCUGCAUCGGUAUGUGUCAGUCCGCACUUAGUGUGUAGUCACAUGCUGGGUAAUUGCUAGCCUUGGCGUAGUUUAGCUGUGUGACAGCUGUGGGUUGCGUUUGUCGAUUGUAGCUGCUGUAUCUGCGAACUGGUUUAUUCCUUUUUGCGGUGAGUAUGUUGCAGGACGCAAGCAGCCCGCCAUCAAUGGUUAACAUUAGUUAUUUGACCCGUCUUGAAACACGGACCAAGGAGUUCAAAUGGCACGCGAGUCAUUGGGUUUAAUCACCCGAAGGCGAAGUGAAAUGCAAACGUAUUGUUAUUUGUGGUUGUUCCAUGAUUAAGCGAUAAGCUACUUAUGCUUUCUGGCAUUUGUAGACUACAAGCGUGAUGUUUGAGACCCGAAAGAUGGUGACCUAUGCCUAGUCAAGAUGAAGCCAGAGGAAACUCUGGUGGAUGUCUGAAGUUGUUCUGACGUGCAAAUCGAUAAUCUGAUCUGGGUAUAGGGGCGAAAGACUAAUCGAACCAUCUAGUAGCUGGUUCCUUCCGAAGUUUCCCUCAGGAUAGCAAGCGUACAUUUUUAGUUUCAUCCCGUAAAGCGAAUGAUUAGAGGUAUUGGGGCGUAUAUAGCCUCAACCUAUUCUCAAACUUUUAAUGGGUGUGAGUGUUCUUUCUCAAUUGAAGAACGCUGUUAAAUAAGUAUGCUUAGUGGGCCAUUUUUGGUAAGCAGAACUGGCGCUGUGGGUUGAACCAAUUGUUGAGUUAAAGUGCCUAAAGCUGGAAUGCGCAUGAGAUCUAUAAAGGGUGUUAGUUGCUGAAGACAGCAGGACGGUGGCCAUGGAAGUCGGAAUCCGCUAAGGAGUGUGUAACAACUCACCUGCCAAAGCAACUAGCCCCAAAAAUGGAUGGCGCUAUAGCAUUGUACUUAUACUCAACCUCUGAUGUGCAGCAUCGGUACACUCAGAGAGUAGGAAGGUAAUGUGAUAGCGUCGAAGGAUUUUGCUGUAAAGUAAUCUGGAGCUGUCACAUGUGCAGAUCUUGGUGGUAGUAGCAAGUACUCAAUUGAAAACCUUGAGCACUGAAGUUGGGGAUGGGUUCCAUGUGAACAGUAGUUGAUCGUGGGUCAGUCGGUCCUAAGCUUAUGAUGAAACAUGUGUUGAAUGUGUAUAAUAAUGUGUUAUCACUGUAAGCGAAAGGGAAUCAGGCUAACAUUCCUGAACCUGUACACCGGUGUGCUACUCUGUAGCAAUCGUGGCAACACAAGUGCGCUCAAAGACACCAAGGGAUAGGCUAGGAAGAGUUAUCUUUUCUUUUUAAGUCACUUGUACCCAUGGAAUGAAGUAGAUUUGAGAUAUGGGUAAGGGUGACAUAAAGCUGCUCAUUUUAGAGUAGUUUAGUUGACUCCCUUGGUCCUUGAAAAUUUGAGCGUGGUGUUAACCUUGGUGGCAGUCCGUACUAGUAUCCGCAGCAGGUCUCCAAGGUGCGUAGCCUUUAGUGUCUAGAUUAAUGUAGGUAAGGGAAGUCGGCAAAAUAGUUCUGUAACUUUGGGAGAAGGGAUGGCUCUGAAGGUUGAUCCAGUCAGGUUGACAGUAGAAGUAUUUAUGACAUUGUGUUGUCGCCGGAUGGGCUUCGUACCCGUCUGGAUGAUGACCGAAGUUGUGCUUAUGGACAUUGUUAGCUGAUUCGGUUUAUUCUGAUAUGACUGGAAAUUAUCAACUACUUCAGAACUGGUACGAACUGAGGGAAUCCGACUGUCUAAUUAAAACAAAGCAUUGUGAAGUCCAGUAAUUGGUUAUGACACAAUGUGAUUUCUGCCCAGUGCUCUGAAUGUCAAAGUGAAGAGAUUCUUUGAAGCGCGGGUAAACGGCGGGAGUAACUAUGACUCUCUAUGUAGCGUAGUUCUCUGGGAUCUCCCAUUGUUAGCGCCCAUGAUGAAACAACAUACUGGGCAACAAGACUACAUAACACUCAUGACGGGGCAUACCUAAAAGACGCACACAAAACCCCAUACACCCACAAUUGGAUCAAAGGUAUGCCCUACCUAUCGGGGAAGGAGUUCAUCCAUCUGGUCAAACUCCGAAUAAACGCACUACCAACGCGUGCCCGUAUGGCUCGUGGUCGACCGGGCUUUAAUAAAAGCUGCCGGCACGGGUGCAAUGCGGUAGAGACGCUAAACCACGCUGUGCAACUUUGCCCCUAUUCGAACAGACCAACAAUAAAGCGUCAUGAUGACAUCAACCAUAAGGUGGCCAGACUCUUUCGGCGCCUGGGAUACACGGUUGACCGGGAGCGUAGCUUUAGGUCCGCCGGCCACCCUGCACUCCGCCCAGACCUCGUGAUUACAACACCCUCCGAGGUCUGGGUGCUUGACACCGAGAUAUGCGGAACGUACCGGACUUGAUUAGGUAGCCAAAUGCCUCGUCAUCUAAUUAGUGACCGCGCAUGAAUGGAUUAACGAGAUUCCCACUGUCCCUAUCUACUGUCUAGCGAAACCACAGCCAAGGGAACGGGCUUGGAUUGAACGGCGGGGAAAGAAGACCCUGUUGAGCUU